GGUUCGAUGGUGUAGUUGGUUAUCACUUCUGUCUAACACGAAACUUACGUGUCUCACAGGCGGUCCUCAGUUCGAACCUGGGUCGAAUCA